rnacentral:rRNA from 1 species
GAUGAACGCUGGCGGCGUGCUUAACACAUGCAAGUCGAACGGAAAGGCCCAAGCUUGCUUGGGUACUCGAGUGGCGAACGGGUGAGUAACACGUGGGUGAUCUGCCCUGCACUUCGGGAUAAGCCUGGGAAACUGGGUCUAAUACCGGAUAGGACCACAUUUUGGAUGGUGUGGUGGAAAGUUUUUCGGUGUGGGAUGAGCUCGCGGCCUAUCAGCUUGUUGGUGGGGUAAUGGCCUACCAAGGCGUCGACGGGUAGCCGGCCUGAGAGGGUGUACGGCCACAUUGGGACUGAGAUACGGCCCAGACUCCUACGGGAGGCAGCAGUGGGGAAUAUUGCACAAUGGGCGCAAGCCUGAUGCAGCGACGCCGCGUGGGGGAGGACGGCCUUCGGGUUGUAAACUCCUUUCGCUAGGGACCAAGCGUUAUGUGACGGUACCUGGAGAAGAAGCACCGGCUAACUACGUG